UAGGGUAUCUUCCACAAUGGACGCAAGUCUGAUGGAGCAACGUCGCGUGAGUGAAGAAGGUUUUCGGAUCGUAAAGCCCUGUUGUUGGUGAAGAAGGAUAGAGGCAGUAACUGGUCUUUAUUUGACGGUAAUCAACCAGAAAGUCACGGCUAACUACGUGCCAGCAGCCGCGGUAAUACGUAGUUGGCAAGCGUUUUCCGGAUUUAUUGGGCGUAAAGCGAGCGCAGGCGGAAUGAUUAGUCUGGUGUGAAAGCCCACGGCUCAACCGAGGAAAUGCGUCGGAAACUGUCAUUCUUGAGUGCAGAAGAGGAGAGUGGAAUUCCAUGUGUAGCGGUGGAAUGCGUAGAUAUAUGGAAGAAAACAAGUGGCGAAGGCGGCGCUCUGGUCUGCAACGGACGCUGAGGCUAGAAAGCAUGGGGGGCGAACAGG
rnacentral:rRNA from 1 species